CUGGUCAGCAAGCAUCACAAAGGGACUGAAACAGACAAGUCCAACAGGAACAACCAAACCUGCAACUGAAGAAGGCUUAAAGGUGAAACCAAAACCCUAAGGAACUGUGCUGGCUAGUGUACACUGCAUCCCCUAUUUGGAGGAGGAGGAGGCGGCAAAGAAAACACCAACUGAAGAGAUACAAACAAGAAAACUUAAUCCCUGGAGAUUUCUAUGGACCAAGGCUCUGGAAACAGCCAUAGGAAGGACAGGCUAAGAGCAAGAUUGAUUUGUUCCCUAAUUGAAGGUAAUUUCAUAAUGCUCUCAGCACUUGCUUUGGGUAUCAAAGCUCAAGGUGUUAUUUUGGGAUCAGACCUAUCCCCAUAUUUGCAUAGUCAGAUAUCCUUUUAUCGCACUUAUUGAACAUUUUACCUCCUUGUCAAGACUUAUAAUUCACCAGUGAUGCAGUGUCACUUAGCUCCCCAUUGAUACUCAGUACCACACAGGAUUGGACCCUUGGAUUGUGAUGAUGAAUAUGCUCUCAUCAAUGAGAAUAUGAAAGAUUUCUAUAGUACCUACAUCUUCAAAAAUAAACAGGCUUUUUUGUCA